UCCCUUCAACCAGAGCGAUCUGCGACAUUUUACCGAUUUAAACCCUAAUUUUGCCGUCGGCGGUGUCCUUGAUCGUCUCCGCAUCAUCGCUGCCGGCGGGUUCCUCCUCAUCUGCUUUCAUUUUGCUCAACCUCUUCGCCCUUCCAACCUCAUUGGGAAUCUGAUUCGUCUCUUCUCCAGAGCUCCUUCUUGCUAUUUGUUGAGGGGCGUUGUGCGUUAAUGCCGUCCGUUGUGCUUCCAUAGAGAAGCGGAUUGAAGGGGAACCUUGAGAGGAUUUUGUGCAAGACGAUGAUUGUCGUCCGUUCUCAUGUACUUUUUUGGAUUUGUGUUCGAAUUGUAUAUGAAGAUUAUAGGCUGGAGGGCAACAGGGGUGAAGGAGUUCGCGAAAUUGAAGAGUUCGACUCCUGAAGAUCGAAGGAUUCAUGCAUCGAUGCUGCAGGGACAGGCUUCAUGCCUCCUGAUGAUUUCUUUGAAUAAGCCAUCUGACGAACUUUUAUUACCAAGCUCAGUUUCGUUUUCAUCUAAUUUGACUGGCAACUGACAAGAAGUGAACGUAUCGCGAUGGAGUAUGGCGAUCUGGCCAUCCAAAGGUAGAUCAGGCGGGAACAAGUCUACAGUAUUCCUUUUCAGCACCAGUGCACUGCUACUGUCACAAGUUUUUUGUCCCCCAAGUCUGCUCAUGAUUCGUAGAGAAAAUGACGCAGAACUGCAGAAUCCGUUCAAUCUUGACUAAAGCGAUUAGGAGUUAUUCCCUAUAUAAAGGCUUUGUACGUUAUUUACUUAAUGAUCUGAAGGUUCAUAACCGGUCUUUCGAGAUCUGCAUUCCUUAUUACACUAUCUUGAACCUACUCCUCAUCUUGCCUUCUCAUAGAGUCCCCACAAGCCUCAUGUAUAUAAAUCGUCCACUACUGACCUAUGCUAAACAGCAAAAUUAUUUCUCACCCUGGAAAUCCACACUAAAGCUGGUUGGUGCAAGGAAAAUAGACUAUCGAUGUGCUUCUUUUGGUUGGACCGAAACAUGGUGGGACUGGGUAUGUUCUCUUCAUCUUGGUUGAAUCUGAAUUUGUCAUAUAAGAGUUCACACCGUGUAACAGGGCUAUAAUUGGAUUUGACCCUUUUGCAAUUUUCUUUCUUGCUUGAAACUUAAAGUGGUUUCGAAGGUGAAAAGAUGCUUAAAAAAGUGAUUGCUUGCAGCGCUUUUUUACCUCUAUGUUCGACUUUUCCAUUUCUUUUCGUUUCGGAUUCUUAAUGUUAAUGUUGUUAGUUUUGGUAUCAGUGCCAUAGUGGUUUUGACCAUUGGUAUACAUAAGUUGGCCUGUAUCGGCUUGUUUUUCAUUUUUAAAAUUGAAAUUAUUUAAAAAAAUUAUUUUCUUAAAUAUAAAAAAAUCAUGUAAAUUCAUAUUGGCUGUGGAUGGUAAAAAACAACACUUUCCAAUAGAGUUUUAUAUGCAUCACCAGCCUAUUAAGCCAGCUCAUCUUAUGCAACCUGUGCCUACCUAAUUGAUGCAUGCUAUGCCUUCCUAAGUCAUGCCUAGUCACAUGGGUGCGUCAAAUAUGUGACGCACUGUUGACUGGGAUGCGAGUGCACCCUAACACGGUAUGAGACUCUGUCAUACCGAAUCGAAUGCUACUGGACGCACCUGUUUUUUUUUUUUCCUAUUUUUAUAUUUUUUUCAUAUCUUUUCCUUUUCCUUUUUCCAUCUUCUCUUUCUCAUCCCUUAUUUUAUUUAGUAAAACUUCUAAUUUGGUAUGAGAUUAGAGUAACUAUGAUAAAAAAAAUUGAAAAAUAUAGACAAAUAUAUAUAUAUAUAUAUAUAUAUAUAUAUAUAUAUAUAUUCUCACUGCACUCACAUCUUUUCUUUUUUUUUGAAAUUUGUUGCAUCUCGUACGUGUACGUGCACCCGCACCCAUGUAACAUAAUGAUACAUUGUAUGCAUAGGAUGACAUUCUUUGAUCUCUUUCGCCAUCCCAAGAGGACUGCAUGUCAAGUGACCCCUCCCAUGAAGCUGAACCUCUUGAAUAUAUUAUUGAAGACGUGUUGAGCAUUUUUCGGCCAAUCAUAAUCAAAUUGUUGGAAAAUAGAUUUGAUUUCAUUGUGGCUUCAAAGUUCCAAGUGUUCACAUCUAACCAUUUUAAAAUUAUUUAGAGAUUUCACUUUUUAUUAUUUUUAUUUUUUUGAAAAUAAAUUUACUAAUAGUUUUAGCUGAUACACAAGAAUUGGCCGGUUCACUCACCUGCAGUUCCAUCAAUUCGAUUCAUGGCGGAUUCAAGAGUACCACGUGUCAACAUUUGACAGUUUUAAGAGCCAUUCAAUUUUUUUUAUCUUUUAUGUAUUUUUCAUUUAAUUUUUAGAAAAUAAAUUUUUUUAUAUUUUUAGCUGAUUCUCAACGAUUCAGCUGAAUUGAUGAAUUGGGCAACUCACUGAGCAAGCAGUUCCAUCAUUUCGGUUCACAAAUCUAUUUUUACAACAUCAAUCUUAGGUACUUGCUUGGCUAGCAGUUUAGUUGCCUCAAGCCCCAAGGUGACAACAUUAAAAGCUUGUUAACUGGUGGCUUAUUGGCGUGCUGUGAGAAAUCAAUACUCUCAAAUAUCAUUAGUAUCUGAGCAGCAACUCCAAGAAAUCAAGGACAAUAUGAAAACUCUAUCAGGCCAGAGCGGCGGACUCAAGAUGGAAUAGUGGAAACGGAGAUUGAAAAUUCAGCGGCCAACUCUUCCAGAAGGAAGUACGACAAAUUCCUGCAGCCUGGAAUUACUUUUUUCCACUUUGGGACACAAGGCAUGAAGGGAUGCUAGCACUUGUGCCUAAUUACGCAACUCAUCUUUAGAGGCCAUUCACAUUGCGGAAAUAUCAAAUCUUUAUCGGGGAUGAAAUCACCAGGACUUGACAGGGCUUCCAACCCACUUUUUCAAUUGGUAUCGGGAUGAUGUUUCUCUAGAUAUCAGCCUUCUAGUCAUUGAAUUCCAUGUAAGGCCAGAUUCCCUUACGAUCACUGACCGACAUUUUCCCCUUGUCGUCCAAUCUCAAUUGCAGGCGCUCUACCAAUUACCGAUGCCCAACUCCAGGUAUCUAUUUUACUAUUUCAUCCAAAAUUUGGCCACCUCAAUUGGCACUCAUCUCAGACUGAUCCAUAGUUCAAGUUUAUGUUGUCGCCAUAAAAGUUGCACAUUUGAUGCAUAAAUUAGGUAAGCCUGAAUAAUGCUUAAAAUAGAUUCUUCUCCAGCUUUGGAUAAUAUUUCUUUCGAUUACCUCAUCCUGAUGAUGUCAUAUGUGGAGUCAGAGCAUUUUAAAGAACUCAAUGGCAAGCUUGUCUUCUCAUUAGUCAGUGUCGGGAACCACCAUUACUAAAAAGAAUAGAAGUAGUUAUAAACAGAUGGGAAGACGGUGAAUUGGAACCUCCACCAGUAUAAAUAAGGUCUUGGCCUCUUAUCGUGAGUAAUAAGUGGGUGAAGGGAGGUAGCUGUAUGAAGUGAGCAACUCAAUCUUACUCCCGUGAGCUUGUUAGGUGGCAAAGUUUCAUUUGGCUUGGCAGAUUUACAGUGUACACUACUUUAGGCACAUUAUCUUUUAAUAUUUGAGUAGUGGAUCUCUAUCAAAAUUAUUAUUGAAAUUCAUCUCAGGUGUCAAAAGUUUUCCGAAUUUUCUUUUGAUUUUCUCUACGAUAGAUUAUUCAAGCAU